rnacentral:rRNA from 1 species
AUUGAACGCUGGCGGCAGGCCUAACACAUGCAAGUCGAGCGGAUGAGGGGAGCUUGCUCCUUGGUUCAGCGGCGGACGGGUGAGUAAUGCCUAGGAAUCUGCCUGGUAGUGGGGGAUAACGUUCCGAAAGGAACGCUAAUACCGCAUACGUCCUACGGGAGAAAGCAGGGGACCUUCGGGCCUUGCGCUAUCAGAUGAGCCUAGGUCGGAUUAGCUAGUUGGUGAGGUAAUGGCUCACCAAGGCGACGAUCCGUAACUGGUCUGAGAGGAUGAUCAGUCACACUGGAACUGAGACACGGUCCAGACUCCUACGGGAGGCAGCAGUGGGGAAUAUUGGAUAAUGGGCGAAAGCCUGAUCCAGCCAUGCCGCGUGUGUGAAGAAGGUCUUCGGAUUGUAAAGCACUUUAAGUUGGGAGGAAGGGCAGUAAGUUAAUACCUUGCUGCUUUGACGUUACCAACAGAAUAAGCACCGGCUAACUUCGUGCCAGCCGCCGCUGUAAAAC